UUCAAUUGUUCUCCAUAUCAGAAUUUACCAUUGAACUUCAUUCAAAUGAAUAUGUUCAUAUCUGUGAUGGUGACAAAAGUUUCUUUAAGAAAUCAGGCUAUGUUAGAAUUCAACAAUUUGCCACCUGUAGAAUCAGUUCUCACAUAUCAAUAUGUCCAUGAAAGAGAGAUAAAAAUAGUGUUUACAUGAUAUUUCUCCAUGACAUCAAUAUAUAUAUAUAGUUACUGGACCACCAAAAAUGAUGCUGACCAUGCCCUCCUUUCUCUUUGCUUGAACUGAGUGCCAACCAGGGACCAGAAAUGCAUGGUUGUUCAGAAAUUGAGAAGAGUCCAUUAGAUAACUUUAUUAAGCCGCAUCAAAAUUCACCAUGAUUUCUCAAAUAGAACUUAUGAACUGCAUUAACCAUGUUAGGAUAACAAGAGUAUAUCAAAGUAAGCGGGCAAUUUAGCAGUAACUGCUAAAAGCUUAUAAGAAUUUCUAUGGCAAAAUUACCUUUUUUCAAUCUGGCGCACAACCAAUGAUUAGGGUACAGAGCACACAUCUUUUUGGCAAACUACUAUAAGUGUGAGAUGUCAAUCUUCAAUGCUCCUGUACCAUUUCCAGUAAUUGAAUAGCAUUUCUUUUCCAUGAUGGAUGGAUGGAUGUGUUAAAACAUAGAGAACAUUCUUUUACAGUUAAAAUAAUCAUAGAAGACAUGUAUAUGCAAGGCUUAACUCUGUCAAAGUUCCUUGGAAUAUGAUUCUACCAGUGACAGUCUGAAUUAGACAAUUGCAUGUGGGCUCCCUGAUCUUUGUUGAAAAGAUCAAAGCACCUAUCCAUUAUGAUUCAUACCGUACAUGAACUCAAUUCAGAAGCACUUAAGUGAUUAAGAUGUCAUCUCUAUAUUUUUUAGUACCUAAUUUCACCACUUGUCAAGUAACACUCCUAUCCAUCAUUGUUCUAAUUCUUUUUGUUCUUUCUGAUUACAUAUCAAAGCACCGCACUGUCUAGAUUAGCAAAAUAAAUGGUAGGGGCUGUAUGCUCGCUGCAAAUAAUUUUCAGAAGCGCCAUGAUGUAAAAUCUGCAUGCACCAGAUGAAAGCUCUUAAGAUCCUAGAUUUUUGGUACAAAUUUAAUUUUCAGAAUCAAAUAACUUUACUGCAAAAUUUAAAAUCCCUAACUGGGAGAGAAAUUUGAUACUCAGUCUUUUGUCUCACCUAGAAAUUCCUCGAUCAUUGGAGUAUUAAUCUUGUCUUAGCUUUUGAAGUCACAUUAAACCCAUUGACCACUGUUUUGAAGUCAGAUUAAACCCAUUAAUCACAUGAUGACUAAGAGAUCUAACCUUGGUGUAUUCGUUCCUUAGGGUUGCAAAACGGAUGGCCCUUGCAUGGUGACGACAUUGAUGGUGAUUCUUUUCCUAGAACGGUGGCGGAAGACAAGCGCACCAACUCCGCAUCUCCCGGGGCGACAUCGCAAGUUGGAGGGUGCAGGGUCACAUAUCAGUGCGCACAUUGGCAGCGGGAUCACGUAGAGCAGCGACGCCGCAAGUUGGAGGAUGCUGGGCAAGAUCAAACAAACAAAUUGACGAAUCUUAGAUGUAGCGGUGAUGGGCGAUCCGUUCUCGCUCGUCGGGUGCCACGUGAACCAUGGGCGCGCGGCCGACGAGGAGGGGCCUCCUCUUCACAUGGGUUGGAGGAGACGACGGCGUCGGGUUGGCAGACACGGCGGCGUCGGGUUGGCAGACACGGCGGCGGUGGCUUGGAGGCAGCAACGGAGGUGGGUUGGAAGCGAUGGUGGCGGCGAGAGGUGCGCGCCGUCUCCACAUCGUGGAGGGAAAGGAGGAGGAGGAGGACCCUUAUUAGGGUUUGGUUGGGGAAGGGGAGGCAGCAGGAGCCGAGAGAUCACGGGAUGGGCGGGGGUUGCUACGUGCGGCGCGUGAUGCGGGAGGGAGCGGACGGUGGAGGACAGGAGGAGGAUCGGGUGCGGGAUCGGAGGGCUCAAAAUUGUUUUUUGGCUGACCGAAACCGAGCGAAGCGCAGUACUGUGAUGUUUUGUCGCCGUUCUAGUUUUUUUUAGCUCUAGAGAUGAUAUCAUGAUGCAUUUGGAGGAAAUUGGGUUGUGUUCAUAUCCUCUUUUGUUUCCUAUCGCUCAUCUAUUAAGGUCUGCCAUCAAGGCGAGAAAGCAUCACCCAAUCCUUGUGACAAAGUUGAAAAAAAGUGGCUGUUAAUUAACAGGAGCAUUCAACCACUACAAGAUACUCCCUGUGUUCCAAAUUGUAGGUCGUUUUAGCAUUUUU
rnacentral:lncRNA from 1 species